AAAACAGGAGUUGCUCAUACAAAUUGCUCAUACACUGCUGUUUUUCAAUGCUCACCUCCAGCUCAAUGCCUACCCGUUCACUGACUGGUACUAUCCCCCGCAAGUGCAGUAUGUACCUUUCCUGCCCUUCUUCAACAACAUGAACCCCAUCAUCCCUGAAAAUAUUCCAAACACUGAUGUCAUGUCAGAGUGGUUGAACUAAAUCAAUUCUCAGGAACUCCCCAGUUAUGGCACUAGAUGUGACUACAGCUUCCUUCUCCGACUUUCUUCUCUGCCUGAUCAUCACGUGAAACAGACCACAGCUUUGGCUAUGAUUUUAGAAUAGCAAGGUGCCUACUGGAGGGCAUAUUUCUUUUUCUUUCAUCUACUAUAUAUUGGAGAUCACAGCAACCUCUCCUCGGGUUCAAAUUUCCUAGACAGUUAUCAUCUGAAUUCUAGUUGUGUCAUAUAGAUACAGAGAGCACCUUGUAAGAGGGUAUUAAAGUCUUUACUAAAUUUCUAUAAUGGAAAUUUUGUUUAGAAGGCUUUGAGUUGCUUUUCCUGUAAGUCCCAUCAUUUCGAAUAAUUGUGUGCUGUGACUGAGGUCUUCUUCUUUCCAAUAAAUUGAAUUUUAAGGCACAG
rnacentral:lncRNA from 1 species